rnacentral:rRNA from 1 species
GAUGAACGCUAGCGGCAGGCUUAAUACAUGCAAGUCGUGGGGCAGCAGCUUUAUAGCAAUAUAGAGGCUGGCGACCGGCAAACGGGUGCGGAACACGUACUGAACCUUCCUUUAAGUGGGGAAUAGCCCAGAGAAAUUUGGAUUAAUACCCCGUAACAUAUAAAAGUGGCAUCACUUUUAUAUUAAAGCUCCGGCGCUUAAAGAUGGCAGUGCGGCUGAUUAGGUAGUUGGCGGGGUAACGGCCCACCAAGCCUACGAUCAGUAACUGGUGUGAGAGAACGAGCCGCAACACGGGAACUGAGACACGGGCCCGACUCCUACGGGAGGCAGCAGUAAGGAAUAUUGGUCAAUGGACGGAAGUCUGAACCAGCCAUGCCGCGUGGAGGAUGAAGGUCCUCUGGAUUGUAAACUUCUUUUAUCUGGGACGAAAAAGGGCUUUUCUAAGUCAACUGACGGUACCAGAUGAAUAAGCACCGGCUAACUCCGUGCCAGCAGCCGCCGUAA